rnacentral:lncRNA from 1 species
CCUCUAUUUCCAGGUCUUUGUAUUUUGAAAGUUUCUCCAUUUCUUUUAGAGACACGUUAUCAUCUGCUGGUAUUGAUACAUCAAUUAGAAAGCAUUUAUUUUCUUCAUUAUCUCUGACAACUAUAUCUGGUCUGUUGGCCUUAAUUUCUCUAUCUGUGUGUAUUGGCAUAUCACAGAGUAUGGUUGCUUUCUCGUUUUCUGUGACCUUUUCUGGUGUGUGCAUAUACCAUCUUUUUACUGUUGUUAUUCCAUAAUGUUGGCACAGCUUCCAGUGUAUGUAGGUCCCAACUCUGUCGUGUCUGUGAAUAUAUUCCCUCUUAGCCAGGACUGGGCAGCUAGAGAUAAUAUGAUUCAUUGUUUCUUGUCCAUCUCCACGUAUUAUUAUUAUUAUUAUUAUUAUUAUUAUUAUUAUUAUUAUUAUUAUUAUUAUUAUUAUUAUUAUUAUUAUUAUUCAAUAGUCUUAUUUUUAUCACGUGCUUUCACUGCACUAUCGAGCGCAGCCCUGUGUGCCUUGAGUAUACACUUGUAAGUCCUGCUACUUCGGUUAUGUAUUUGUCUAUAGUUUUUCUCAUACCUAAUGUGCCAACUAUUAUAGGAAUUGUUUCUGUUUUUAGGCUCCCCAUUCGAGUUGCCUCUGUUUCCAGAUCUUUGUAUUUUGAACGUUUCUCCGUUUCUUUUAGAGAAACGCUGUCAUUUGUUGGUAUUGAUAGAUCGAUUAGAGGACAUCUUUUUUGUGGUGAUCUCUGAUAACUACAUCCUUUCUAUAUUAUGCAUCACAACCAUAUGUGCGAGACAUGGCGAUGUUAUAUCAACGGAACAGCCUGCUCGUGAAAUUAACGCGCAAGUGGCUGAGCACUCCACAGACAUGUGUACCCUUAAUGUAGUUCUUGGGGAGAUUCAGCAUGACACAGAGUGUGACAAGUCCGGCCCUUUGAAAUACAGGUACAACAGAAACAGGAAGAAAGAGAGAGAGAAAGUUGUGGUGAAAGAAUACAGCAGGGUUCGCUACCACCCCGUGCCGGAGCCACGUGGAACUUUAGGUGUUUUUGCUCAAUAAACACUCACGACGCCCGGUUUGGGAAUCGAAACCGCGAUCCUUCGACAGCGAGCCCGCUGCCCCAUCCACUGUGCCAUUGCGCCUCCACAAAGAUAAGUAAGGUGUUGGAAGUCGCAGAAGAGGAAAAGUCCGUUUCUUGAAAACGCAUGGGCUUCACUAUUGUCAGUAGGAAUAACUCAACCGCUACAAGAUCACUAUUGAUUGAGCAGGACAUAAAGAUACGUUGAAUAAACCAAAGCUCUAAACACUGUAAGAUUUGUAAUAUCAUACGAUCACAGGUUGAAUACCAAAGGAGAUUGAAAGAAAUGGGAAAUAUCAAAGAGAUAAAGAGAUUUUGGAAGAGUGGCAGCGGCGGCGGUGGUGGUGGUGGUGGUGGUGGUGGUGGUGGUGGUGGUGGUGGUGGUGGUGGUGGUGGUGGUGGUGGUGGUGGUGGUGGUGGCGGUGGUGGUAGUGGUGGUGGUGGUGGUGGUGGAACAUGUUCACAAAAUUGGUUUAUCGGGGAGACCGAAAAAUUCGAGAUAGGUAUUUGGGUGCAAAGUAUCGUGUAAAGAGACCCUGUGAGACCCUUGACAAAUGGCUGCUGUUCUGGUCUUACAGAAUUAACCGGAGCAAGUAAAAUCGAGAGCUCUAUGAGAAGUAAAAUUGAAAUAAUAAUAAUAAUAAUAAUAAUAAUAACAACAACAACAACAAUAAUAAUAAUAACUAAAAAUUUGGGGAUAAUCCGUGGCUUACUAUCCACGCAGUAAGUGCAAAAUAUUGUCUUAACUGGUGCGUCAGACAUAUUGAGAAGAGAAUUGUCGCUGUGAAUUUUCUCUCCUUUUUAUUUUUAUCUUCUUUCUUGACAUUUUUUUUACAUUUUUCAUUUUCUUCUUUUUUCUGUCUUUCAUCCCCUUUUUUUCUAUCUUAUGACUUUGUAAAUAUGAUGUCAUUAUUUUAACAGCCUACCAAUAUAUACAAUAAGUUUCUUUGCUCUAGGUUUCAGGAAGACACUCGGCAAGAAAUGGAAAUAGAAUUGAAAGUAGGGAAUAAGGGCGAUAAUAAUAACUAUUAUUAGUGUCGAUAAAGUAGGUACCAGUUGAGCACUGUGGUAUUCUGUCUAUAAUGGAAAGAACUAGCAUCAUCACCAUCAUUGUCAACAUCAUUAUCAUCAUUAUUAUUAUUCGACUUUGCGUAUAAUCCUGUCGAGAUCGAUGAAGUUAUUACCAGUCGAUGACUGGGCUCCAUGUAAUUGACUAUUUCUCUUUGCCAAAAUUUCAGGCCCUGUAGUAAUAGCAGAAAAAAAUUAUCAGUAGUAGUAGUAGUAGUAGUAGUUAGUGAAGGCGCGUGGCUUAGUGGUUCGGCCAUUCGUCUCACUAUUGUAAGAUCGUGAGUUCAAUUCCCGGCGAUGCGUUGUCUCCUUGAGCAAGAUUCUCUUUAUUUCACGUUGCUCCAGUCUACUUAGCUGUCAAAAAGGAGUAGUACCUGUAAUUCAAAGGGCCAGCCUUGUCACAUUCUGUGUCACGCUGAAUCUCCCUGAGAACUACGUGUCUGUGGAUUACUCAGCCACUUGUACGUAUAUUUCCCAAGCAAGCUGUUCCGUUGAGCGUAUCAGCAGGGACCCUCGUCGUCGUAACCGACGGAGUAGUAGUGGUAGUAGUAGUGGUAGUAGUAGUAGUAGUAGUAGUAGUAGUAGUAGUAGUAGUAGUAGUAGUAGUAGUAGUUUUAGUAGUAGUAGUAGUAGUAGUAGUAGUAGUAGUAGUAGUAGUAGUAGUAGUAGUAGUAGUAGUAGUAGUAGUGGUUUUAGUAGUAGUAGUAGUAGUAGUAGUAGUUAUUGUUGUCGUGGUUGUAACAACACAAAUAUUAGUCACAACAUAACUUCUUUUGAGAAAUGCAGUGAAGACAGCAACGAUGAUUAACGAUCUAAAUUAAUCCGGGAGGGAAUUAAGAUUAAUAAGGUGAAUCCAACAAAUAAAAAAACACACAAAUACUUGAGUAGCGAAACCGGUGAGAAUGUAUCACUUCUGUGACGAAACCAAUCAUUUGAAAACGGAGGAGAAUGAGAAUAGAGGUAUUAGAGUAAAAUGUGGAUGGAUAUCUAGAAAACAAGUAUGUGCGCGCGCACGUGUGUGUGUUUAUGUAUGUAUGUAUGUGUGUAUGUAUGUAUGUGUGUAGGUAUGUAUUACUUGAGCAUUUAAACAAAAAGAAUACAAGAUGGAUUUAAAAGGCUCCAGUUCAAAUCAUGUUCGGAUGUAAAUUUAUAUACAUACAUAUAUAUGUGUGAGUGUGUACAUACAUACAUACAUACACACACACACACACAUAUGUACA